rnacentral:rRNA from 1 species
GAGUUUGAUCCUGGCUCAGAUUGAACGCUGGCGGAAUGCUUUACACAUGCAAGUCGAACGGCAGCACGGGGGCAACCCUGGUGGCGAGUGGCGAACGGGUGAGUAAUACAUCGGAACGUGCCCAGUCGUGGGGGAUAACGUAGCGAAAGCUACGCUAAUACCGCAUACGAUCUCUGGAUGAAAGCGGGGGACCGCAAGGCCUCGCGCGAUUGGAGCGGCCGAUGGCAGAUUACGUAGUUGGUGGGGUAAAGGCUCACCAAGCCGACGAUCUGUAGCUGGUCUGAGAGGACGACCAGCCACACUGGGACUGAGACACGGCCCAGACUCCUACGGGAGGCAGCAGUGGGGAAUUUUGGACAAUGGGCGCAAGCCUGAUCCAGCCAUUCCGCGUGCAGGAUGAAGGCCCUCGGGUUGUAAACUGCUUUUGUACGGAACGAAAAG